CCUACGGGAGGCUGCAGUUAGGAAUAUUGGGCAAUGGAGGAAACUCUGACCCAGCAAUGCCGCGUGAAGGAAGAAGGUUUUCGGAUUGUAAACUUCUGUUCUGAGGGAAGAAGAAAGUGACGGUACCACAGGAGUAAGCCACGGCUAACUACGUGCCAGCAGCCGCGGUAAUACGUAGGUGGCCAGCGUUGUUCGGAAUGACUGGGCGUAAAGGGUGCGUAGGCGGUUAUAAAAGUUAGAUGUGAAAGGCCCAGGGCUUAACUCGGGUGCUGCAUGUAAAACUGUACGACUAGAGUACAGGAGGGGUUAGCGGAAUUCCUAGUGUAGCGGUGGAAUGCGUAGAUAUUAGGAGGAACACCAGAGGCGAAGGCGGCUAACUGGACUGCAACUGACGCUGAGGCACGAAAGUGUGGGGAGCAAACAGGAUUAGAUACCCCAGUAGUC
rnacentral:rRNA from 1 species